UACGUAGGGGGCAAGCGUUGUCCGGAUUUAUUGGGCGUAAAGAGCGUGUAGGCGGCCAGGUAGGUCUGCUGUGAAAACUCGAGGCUUAACCUCGAGCUGUCGGCGGAAACCAUCUGGCUAGAGUCCGGAAGAGGAGAAUGGAAUUCCCGGUGUAGCGGUGAAAUGCGUAGAGAUCGAGAGGAACACUAGUGGCGAAGGCCGGGCUCUGGACAAUAUCUGACGCUGAGGCACGAAGGUCAGGGGAGCAAACGGG
rnacentral:rRNA from 1 species